rnacentral:rRNA from 1 species
GGGCCCGCACAAGCGGUGGAGUAUGUGGUUUAAUUCGAUGCAACGCGAAGAACCUUACCAGGGUUUGACAUCCUGCGAAUCUCUUGGAAACAGGAGAGUGCCUUCGGGAACGCAGUGACAGGUGGUGCAUGGCUGUCGUCAGCUCGUGUCGUGAGAUGUUGGGUUAAGUCCCGCAACGAGCGCAACCCACGUCUUUAGUUGCCAGCAUGUAAUGAUGGGAACUCUAACGGGACUGCCGGUGCAAACCGCGAGGAAGGUGGGGAUGACGUCAAGUCAUCAUGCCCCUUACAUCCUGGGCUACACACGUACUACAAUGCUACGGACAAAGGGCUGCAAGUUCGCGAGGACAAGCAAAUCCCAUAAACCGUGGCUCAGUUCAGAUCGUAGGCUGCAACUCGCCUACGUGAAGGCGGAAUCGCUAGUAAUCGCAGGU